rnacentral:sRNA from 1 species
UCUACAGUACAAUAUAAACUGAAGUCUGUGACCGAUUCGAUGCACAUUUUCAAAGACAACUAUACGAAUUGAGUUACAAGCAAGUUACUGAGACAAGAUCUAUCUAAAGAUGGAGCUAAUUCUCGCAAUACCAACUAUUCCAAUUCCAAUAGACAAACCAUGUAGUUGCAGUUAAUUGUAACCUCAAAGUGUUCUUACAUGGACAAGUUGAACUUCUGCACUAAUGGCGCCAACUAUUAUCAUCCUAAUUCCUGACUCCAGGAAAAGUUUCAUCCGCUCAC